GGCUUGGUGUAGUGGUUUGAGCACUGGACUAUGACUCUAGAGACCAUGGUUUGAAUCCCAGCUUGGCCA